GACCGCGCACGCGUCACCCAGCCCGCCGAGCGGUCCGCCGCUCGGCCAAGUCCUCGAAACCUCCUCUCCUCGGAGCGGGGGCUCGGGGUAAAAGAACCCACGGCGCCGAAGGCGUCAAGGAACACUGUGCCUAGCCCGGGGACGCGGCUGGCUUGCUGGCCGCACCCCGUGCUGCAAUGCUAUUUAAUCCACACGACUCUCGGCAACGGAUAUCUCGGCUCUCGCAUCGAUGAAGAACGUAGCGAAAUGCGAUACCUGGUGUGAAUUGCAGAAUCCCGCGAACCAUCGAGUCUUUGAACGCAAGUUGCGCCCGAGGCCAUCCGGCCGAGGGCACGCCUGCCUGGGCGUCACGCUAAACACGCUCCCACCCCCCUCAUCGGGGGAGCGGGAUGCGGCAUGUGGCCUCCCGUCUCGCAAGGGGCGGUGGGCCGAAGAUAUGGCUGCCGGUGUAUCGUGCCGGACACAGCGCUAGGUGGGCGUUCUCGCUAAGCUUAUCGCAGUGUAUCCGGUGCGUAGCCGACACGAUGGCCUCUAAGACCCUUUGAACGGUGCGCAUGACGCUCCGACCGCGACCC
rnacentral:misc_RNA from 1 species